AGGUAUUGGUGAUUAUUCACUAACCUGGUUUUGAUCGUAUAUAUCUGAUCGCUCGCAAUAUGUGUCCAUUUCUGACAGCGACUCCCUCUCCCAGUCACGGGUGGUGUUCCCAAAGGUUCCAUUCUCGGACCCCUACUAUUUACAUUAUUUAUAAAUGAUCUGCCUGAUGUCUGCCAAUCCUCAAAUGUACACAUGUACACAGACGACACAGUAAUCUAU